CAUGUUGAAGUUGGAGAAGGAUCAUAUCUUGCCACUCUCCUGAUUACAACAGAGCAUCUGGAACGAGAUUAAGCUGAAUUUUGAUGACAUGGCCUUGAAGGAGACACUCCUUGGGUAUCUGAGUGGUUUUCAGAAGCCAUCAGCCAUUCAAGAGGGCAAUCAUUCCUUGUAUCAAAGGCUGUAACGUCAUCGCACGGGCAAGACUGCCAUGUUUGCCAUCUCUAUCCUGCAGAAUUGGACCCAGGCUCUGGUGCUGGCCCCCGCCACAGGGCUGGCUCAGCAGGUAUGCUGUGCCUGGGGUCUGGAUAAACUUACAUGUUUAUCAGACCGAGGCGGCAUAUUCGGACAAUUUUAAACUUAAAAGAUCCAGAAGGGGCUUCUGGCUCUGGGGGACGACAUGGGUGCGGCCUGCCAUGCCCAAGUUGGGCACUAAUGUCCACAAAGAUACAGAAGCUGCAGACUGAGUCCCCCCACUUAGUGGUAGGAACUCCAGGCUGGAUGCCUGUAAGUACUCAUCAGUGUGGUCCUCCUGUCAGCCACCAUGCCUACUGAUGUGCUGGAGCCCAUUGGCAUUCUGGUGAACUAAAAGGAAUUUCCCUACAGGGUAUUGAGCAGUUCUACAUCAAUGUAGAGAGAAGUGGAAGUUGGACACAUGUGUGACCUGUAUGGGAUGCCAACAGUCACUCCUGCUGGCUGACCGAGAAGAUGCACUCAAGGGGCUUCACGAUCUCUGCUCUGCAUGGCGACAUGGACCAGAAGGGGAAGGAUGUCAUCACGAGGGAGUUCAGGUCUGGCUCAAGCAGAGUACUCAUCGCUACGGACUUAUUGCCAGGCUUGGAAUUGAUGUGCAGCAGGUUCCUUGGUCACCUACAAAGAGGGAGAAUAAUAUGCGCAGAAUUGGUCGUCGUGCCUGUUUUGGCAGGAAAGGUGUGGCUGUAAACUGAGCGAGGAGGACAAGUGUAUUCUUCGGGACAUCAACAUGUUUCAUAAUACAACAGUGGAUGAGAUGCCUUUGAAUGUGGCUGACCUGAUUUGAACCUGGGUGUUGAGGAUGUUGAAUCAUUGCUAGCGGUCUUGCACUCAUUGUGUUCAUUUCAGCAUUGAGGUAAGUUUUCCUAUCUUGAAUCAGACUUCUGAUAUUUGUAAGAUAUGGUGGUCUCAUGGACAGGUUAGAAUCAACAACUGUUCAUGAGACCAAGUCUGAUUCAAGAUGGGCAAACUUACCUCAAUGCUCUGUGCUACACAGCUGAUUAAAAUAACAAGUGUAGCUGCAGGCUGACUCAUUGUACAUGCUAAAACCAUCACAAGCCACAAUCUUUUUUGUGCCAGCAAAGCCACAAACAAUACAUUAAUUCACACGGUGCCCAUACACUUAGGACACAACUGCAGAGCUUUUCACAAAGGAGUGAAUCCUUACGACUACUACACCUGGAUAUCAGCGGAGCCUUGUCUGACAGCAACAGUUAUAUCAGCCUCAUAUACUACCUUUUAAUAAAACAAAAUGAAACAUG